CAGCCGCCGCGGUAAUACGAAGGUCCUGAGCGUUGUUCGGAAUCACUGGGCGUAAAGGGAGCGUAGGCGGCGUGGUAAGUCAGAUGUGAAAUCCCGGGGCUCAACCCCGGAACUGCAUCCGAUACUGCCGUGCUAGAGGAUUGGAGAGGUAGCUGGAAUUCUUGGUGUAGCAGUGAAAUGCGUGGAGAUCAAGAGGAACACUCGUGGCGAAAGCGAGCUACUGGACAAUAUCUGACGCUGAGGCUCGAAGGCCAGGGUAGCGAAAGGGAUUAGAUACCCCUGUAGUCCCUGUCUCUUAUAC
rnacentral:rRNA from 1 species